UACGUAGGGUGCAAGCGUUGUCCGGAAUUAUUGGGCGUAAGAGCUCGUAGGCGGUUUGUCGCGUCUGCUGUGAAACCCGAGGCUCAACCUCGGGCCUGCAGUGGGUACGGGCAGACUAGAGUGCGGUAGGGGAGAUUGGAAUUCCUGGUGUAGCGGUGAAAUGCGCAGAUAUCAGGAGGAACACCAAUGGCGAAGGCAGAUCUCUGGGCCGUAACUGACGCUGAGGAGCGAAGCAUGGGAGCGAACAGG
rnacentral:rRNA from 1 species